ACCUACAAGCGGUGGAUCACUCGAAUU
rnacentral:rRNA from 2 species